UGUGUCUCAGUUAUUUAAGGUAUAUUUUUUAAUUCUCUAUUUAGGGUUUUUGCGUGUGUGUAUAAAUGCAAGAGACAUUCAUUAAGCAGGAAAUACUCUUCAAGUGCGGAGAAUAUAAUGUCAACCAGAUGCAGAUGGUGAGGCCGAGGCUCGAUGUUCGUGCUGUCCGCGGAGCAAGUCCGCACGCUUGUGGAUAUGGCUAAAACUUGAGCUCGAUGGUGAAAUUCGACGCCGGACGACACAGGCGAUCAGCGAUAAAGUUAUCCGGGUAUGGCACAAACAAGCGG